rnacentral:rRNA from 1 species
UACGGGGGGGGCAAGCGUUGUUCGGAAUUACUGGGCGUAAAGGGCUCGUAGGCGGCCAACUAAGUCAGACGUGAAAUCCCCAGGCUCAACCUGGGAACUGCGUCCGAUACUGGAUGGCUUGAAUCCGGGAGAGGGAUGCAGAAUUCCAGGUGUAGCGGUGAAAUGCGUAGAUAUCUGGAGGAAUACCGGUGGCGAAGGCGGCAUCCUGGACCGGCAUUGACGCUGAGGAGCGAAAGCCAGGGGAGCAAAGCGGG